GACGAACGCGGCGGCGUGCCUAAUACAUGCAAGUAGAACGCUGAAGGAGGAGCUUGCUUCUCCGGAUGAGUUGCGAACGGGUGAGUAACGCGUAGGUAACCUGCCUGGUAGCGGGGGAUAACUAUUGGAAACGCUAGCUAAUACCGCAUAACAGUAGAUAUUGCAUGAUAUCUGCUUGAAAGGUGCAAUUGCAUCACUACCAGAUGGACCUGCGUUGUAUUAGCUAGUUGGUGGGGUAACGGCUCACCAAGGCGACGAUACAUAGCCGACCUGAGAGGGUGAUCGGCCACACUGGGACUGAGACACGGCCCAGACUCCUACGGGAGGCAGCAGUAGGGAAUCUUCGGCAAUGGACGGAAGUCUGACCGAGCAACGCCGCGUGAGUGAAGAAGGUUUUCGGAUCGUAAAGCUCUGUUGUAAGAGAAGAACGAGUGUGAGAGUGGAAAGUUCACACUGUGACGGUAUCUUACCAGAAAGGGACGGCUAACUACGUGCCAGCAGCCGCGGUAAUACGUAGGUCCCGAGCGUUGUCCGGAUUUAUUGGGCGUAAAGCGAGCGCAGGCGGUUAGAUAAGUCUGAAGUUAAAGGCUGUGGCUUAACCAUAGUACGCUUUGGAAACUGUUUAACUUGAGUGCAAGAGGGGAGAGUGGAAUUCCAUGUGUAGCGGUGAAAUGCGUAGAUAUAUGGAGGAACACCGGUGGCGAAAGCGGCUCUCUGGCUUGUAACUGACGCUGAGGCUCGAAAGCGUGGGGAGCAAACAGG
rnacentral:rRNA from 1 species